ACAAACACCAAAUAUAAAUUGGUUAAUGGCUAAAAUCUCGAAUAAAUAAAUUUAAAUCUCGUAUAAAUGCAUAACUAUCAUAUUUCUGCUUUUGAGGCUUGCGAUACAGUGCUCAUGGUAUUUUUCCUUUUGAAAAUAUUGCUGCUAUUGCUAUUGCUAGUAGCAUCAACUGUGAGGAUAUUUUUAUACCACUUAGCAGAAAGCUUUGGCAUGCGCUUAAGAGUUUGGCGAUCAACAUAGUAAAGUCCAUACCGCACACUGUAACCAUCGAUCCAUUCGAAGUUGUCGAUCAUGCUCCACACGAAAUACCCACGAACAUCAGCUCCAUUUCUUAUAGCUCUAGCCAGAGCUGCAAGGUAGGAUUUAUGAAAGUUGAUUCUUUCAGCAUCCUGCAACAAGUCUUGCUGAUCUUGUUGCUUUUGUUGUGGAGGAGGAGCAAAUCCAUUUUCUGUCACAAUCAUUGGCAUAUUAUUGUAUCUUUCCUUAACAUAGUUAAUAAUCUUCUCCAUUCCUCUUGGAACUACAAAGAACCUUGGAUUUGCAGUCCGGUCUCCGAUCAGAACACCAUCUCUCUCUUCUGUGGUGUAUACAAAGCCCCGGAUAGGGCGAUCCCAGCCUGGGAUACAAGCAGAAUGGAUGCAAUCCUUGGCAUAUAAUGUUGAAUAAUGGUUAAUGGCAAUGAAAUCUAUACUUCCUUUUAAAAUGCUGAUUUCUUCCUGUGAAAACCUUGGCAAUACACUUCCAAGAUAAUGACGCAUUUCAGGAGGAUAAUCGCCAUAUACAAUGGGAUCGAAAACCCAGGCCAGCUGAAAUGCCAGGGCUCUGCUUACUGCUUUCUGAUCGUCUUCGUUGUCUCUAUACGGUUCAUACAUCAUUGUAUUUGCAAUGAUACCGAUGGAACCACCCUGCUUUGGCUGAAACAUUUGGCGGUAUAGCUUAACCGCCUUAGCAUGCGCCAACAACAUAUUAUGCAUAGCAGUGGGAGGUUCUACAUCAGAAUUACCAAAGGAACAGUUGCCGAAAGGUGGUGAACAGUGUCCUGGAGGGUACCAUCCCCUCAUAUAGGCCAUGUCUGCAAAUAAGUUGGGCUCGUUCAAGGUUGUCCAGUACUUAAUUUUAUGUCCAAAGCUCUUGAAACAAAUUUCUGCAAAGUAGAGAAAAUCUUCCUGCAUAAGAGGACUAAGCCAUGAGCCAUAUCUGUCCUCCAACUCUUGUGGGAUAUCAUGAUGGUGUAUUGUCACGAAUGGCUCAAUUCCUGCAGUUUUAUAUAAACAACUUGCCUAUCAUGUUUCAAACAUAUAAAUGAAUAUCAAAGGAAAAGUAAAUUACCCUUAAGUAAGAGAUUGUCUAUAAGAUUAUUAUAGAAACUGAUUCCUCUUGUGUUCACUUCACCAAAUCUUCCCCUUGGCAAAAUUCUGCUCCAUGAGAUUGAGAACCUGUAUGCAUUUACCCCAAGAGACUGCAUCAAUUCAAUAUCUUCCUGUACACACAGAACAGAACAAAACAGUAGAGAAAUAAAAGAACUAGAAUAGCUCUUUUCAGUUUCUACUUUCUAGUUCGUGAAAUUUAAAGAUAAGAGUGCAAAGGGGAAAAGAAAAGAUCGAAUUAAUACCAGGAACUGAUGGUAAUGAUUGUCUGCUAUGUCUCCAUUAUCAUUAUUCUUUAUGUUGCCUGAAAAUUUUUUAUCAAGAAAUUGUCCAAAUCCUUAAAUGCACAUAUUUGCGAUACAGAUUAAAGAUAUAAGUUGAAAAUGGGUACCUGGAAUAUGAGUAAAGACAUCCCAGUUGUUGAGACCCUUGCCAUCUUCAAGGUAAGCUCCUUCAAUCUGAUAUGAUGAAGUGCUUGUUCCAAAUAGGAAGCCAUCUGGGAAUUGAGAUCUUUUAACAUCUUCUUGUUCAUGUUCAUUAGUUGUUUGAGCUAAAGACGGAUGUAAAAGGAGAACAA
rnacentral:misc_RNA from 1 species